rnacentral:lncRNA from 1 species
GAUGCCUGGCCCAGGAUCACAGAAAAAGCUAUGGCUCACUGCCCCUCAGGGGGCAGGGGGCUGGUGAUUCCUGAGGGAGCCCUGCCCCCUUCCAGGGUGAAUUUUCCUAAGUCACCAUGGAGAACCAGCAGCCCAGAAUCAGUGCCCUGCCAGGCAGAAUUGCUUGGCCAUAACAAAGAUCCAUUGCCUUUCUGAUGACACCCAGCACCUCGGAUUCUGUAUACACGGGAGGUGAUUUAAGCAUCUUACUGCCACCCUGAAAUCUGGGGUCCUUUAUCCUGGCAGGUAAGACCCUUUUGUGUUUUCCCGACACUUACUUCGGAGACCGCCCCUCUAAGCAGAGGGCCAUGUCGCCUGCUGCGUGUUGCUGAAUGGAGGCCCUAAUGUGAAUGGAGACUAGCCUGCUGGUAGAGACCUUGGCAGUGACCGCUGUGGGCAAUGAGCCAUGGGCCAACAAUAUUCAAUGCUGUGUACCUGAUGGAUGGUUACUGUCUGAGACUGAGGCUUUUUGGGCCAGGAGUAAAAGGACUUGGUUUGUACUUGAUUGCGUCCUGUGGAUGCUUGCCUACCAACUGACUCAUCCUGACGUGCCAAAGGUCCUGGCUUUCCCCUGUGUGGGACCCCUGAUUUAAUUAUUUACUGUGGAACCAUUGUCCUGAGUCAGGAGGAUAGAUGAGGAAAGAAUGAGAGCGUGGCUGGCAUCGCUUCAUGAUUACAUUCUGGGAAAGAUCUUGCCUGUUAACCUCUAGAGAAGGAGGGACGAUACAGACAAUGAAGACUAUAGCAGACUGAAUUACUCUCUGAGAUGAGGACUUUGCUAUUGCCAUUGCAGAACCACUGGUGGAAGUUGUUGUUAAACAGUGGGUCUUGCAUGCAAGCUCUACAGUUAUGCACAGUAUUUCCAUGACAUCCCAAGCCAUGAGGUUCAUGCUGCCAUAUCCCCCUGUUUAACAAGUGUGGAAACUGAUAAUGGACUCACAAUUGCUGAUGUAUAGGUUCUAAUGUUUUCUAUUGUGGACACGGGACACCCAGACUGAGAACCAAUGGCUCCAGUCUGAUUUAAACAUGGGUCCGUGCUCACACACUCAAUACCUACCCUCUGUGCUCACAAGUCCUGUGUGAGUAAGACUCCAAAUUAUUCUGUCUUGUUUUACUCAAUGGUAUGCUCUACCUUAUUAUAGAGUAUACCAUGUAUUGAGACAAGAAUGCCAGUCAUUCUGAGAAACAAAAUGCAACCAUUAGUUGUCAUUUUAAUUAGUGACGAAUAGUUGUGUCAAUCAUCAAACAUGCUUGUAUAAUUGGAUGAGAAGAGGUGUAACACGGGCCAAUGAUGACGAGGUUUCGGGAUUAUAAGUCACGGACGAUGACUACGUCACUAGAGGUCUGAGGUCCAUAGCAGAAGAUGCCUCAUGUGACCCUCUCAUGCAGGGGUUGCAUGUCAGGCAUGUGCAUACAGUAGAUAUUAGCCAUGCACUCUCACCAUUUCAUAGUAGAUCACAGAAUCAAGAUACAAAUCUCCAUGCACGGAAAGGAUUUAAGGCAUUGAUCAAUCCUGAACAUAAAUAUUUGGCCAUCAAUGAUAUUUACGCACACACUGAAAAA